UUCGUCUGCAAACGAGCUCCCGCAGACCUGUCUGCAGUGGUUUUGGGUCUCCAACACCUGGCAGCUCAGCCCUGCCUGGUGCCUGGCGUGCGGGGCUCCUCGCCGCGUCUUCAGACCAGGAAAGUUGUGUAAAAGUCUAUUACCAUGAAAAACACAGUGCCUCAAGGUUGCACUGAACAAAGUUUGAUUUCAAUUAUGCUUUCAGUGGUAAACAAUUCCUAGAAGUUGAUCAGCAAAGUGCCAGUUUGUAUCGUGAGUUGCAGUAGGGCGUUUUGUUUUUCCUCGUAAAACCUUUCCUGGUAAAUAUCAUUUGCACAGAUACUGGGCAAACUCUGGUCCCGUCUUUUAAAAUAUUCUUGCUUCCUUUCUCAAUCAAACAUUGCAACUCUGAAUAAGCAUAGCACGCCAAGGAAUCCCAACAGUGUGGGUAUGAAGGUUUGAGAAGAAUAUUGGGUAGAGCCUGCAUGGAUGAAGGUGGAAAUCUCCUGACUCGCCUUUCCAUGCCUGUGGAAUGACCCCCUUGAAGUGUAUUGGAUCAACAAUAGAAGUCAGGAAAAUUAU